ACACCGUUAUACUAGGCCUUAGGCAGGAUCUUGCCAGUGCCAACAAGAAGAUUAAGGAAUUAGAGCGCCACUAAGUUAUCUAGAUUAAACCUUGGGGCAAUGCAUCUUAGUUAUCUAUCUUUAAAUUCGGUUUAGGUUUACUAUUAUCAUCAGUUUACUAUCAGUUUACUACUAGCCUUUUGUAAUAAAUGCCUUAAAGUUAAUAAAGAGUAUUAUUAUUAUUAUGUCUUGUGUGUCUCUACUUUAUUUUUGUACAAGAAAGCAGAAAACAAGUAUGGGGGAGAUCCCUCAACAUGCCAAACACACUCCGACUACACCACUCCACGAUUCAGGUACACACUCUGCACACUUUACUUUAUACAUACACAUAUCUUGAUUAUGCAGAGUAUUGUUUCCAACAUGAUAAAGAUUAAAAUAUUUCUAAUCAUGAUUAAUCUCACUCUGUGAUAUUUCCCGAAAACUUGCAACUAUUAUUAUAAAAUCAUUUUAAAACCCUAUGUUACUUAAGACAGUAUGGAAUGUGAGAUGGUAGAGUAUGAGUUUCUUAUUCUUGAUAUCAUUGUUACUUGGAGAAUUUAUUUCAAAAUCUUCAAAAUUCUAGCUGCCAUCCUCAGUGUUUUAUAUGCCUAUUAAAACUGAAAAUAUUAAUUAUGAUUGUAAAAGCUAUCUACUCUGUAUUGAGUUUGUUCAAAAUGAGUUAGACCCUUGUUGAGAGAUUUAUCAGCUCCUAAGAUCAAGACAUUUAUUCAGAAAGAUUCACUGUUCCGAAGUAUUAUUGCAUUAGAGGCAUGGGCUAUGCAAAAAUAAAGAUAUUUUCGAGGAAUUAAAAAGGAGCAAGUGCUCGAUAACCUCGCAAAAAAAAAUGGACAAAUGUCCGACAGUAGAAUUAGGGAUACCUCGGUAUCCACUUUAAAAAAGAGAAAAAAAGAAGAAAAUGAUAGCCCAUGGUCCGUCUAAUAAGCAAUAUGCCAGCAAGAGUUGACAAAGAUUUUAAGUUCCAAAGUCUUUGAUCUAAGAGUAUGACAUUCCCCUCCUCGGAUCCCAUUUUGAUCAGGCAAUAAAUGCAAAGUAAGUAUGCUUGAGAAUUUUUGCAAAUUAAAACAACCUCAGUGAGAUAUAUAAAAGAUAAUGAGUGAUCUGAGAGAACCUAUGAGAAUAAAAAGGUAUGCUAACUUUCUUUCAAAAAUAUACAAAAACUCCAAGUGACAGGAUUGAGAAGAAAGGAUCUUUACUCUUAACUAUAUACUUCCCUAACUAUAGUACACAAUGGAAUUUUAACACCCUGCAGUUAUGAAAAGAAUGUUUUAAAAUGUUUUACCCCAGAUAUUGUUCUUAACCAUCCUUUUCUCGAGGACGAGUAAAAGCCUAGGUAUGGGGGUAUUUGUUGACGGUUCUUAAGUAUCAAUUUUAAUUAUCAAAUAAACAAGAGAAAGGACCAAUAUGCAACCAACACCUAGAAUUAGGGUUUGAUCUGACAGAAUUCCAUGAGUUUUUUUGUUUAUCUGUUUCUGCAGGGGGUUAUCAGGAAAUAAGGAAGAAAGGCCCACAUGUUGGGAUUACAUAGAGAUAUCAACGCACCGCGCGAUUUUCUACCAUCUAGAAGACUCUAGAAGCCACGGGAAGAAGGCAGAGGCCGAAAGGGGCCAGGCCCAGGGCGCCCGCCCUGAGGACCUGGGCGCCCGCCCCCUCCUGUACUCCGUUCGGGACUCUUUUCGCACACGAUGUUCCACCGACCUAAUGGAUCAAAGAUAAUGUAGUACCACCUCGCCUACCAACCCAAAAAUGCAUAGAGGAGGAGGACUAUAUAAGGAGACCCCCCUGGCCCCUAGAGAAGACAAGAAGUUAUCAUAGAGAUUGAGGGGUGCCCUCGAAGGAAAACCUCUUCUCUAAAUAAUAUUUCUUUUUAGGCUUAGCAACCAAUGUAAGUAGAAAUAGAUCUUCUAGUUUCUACUAGAUUGAGAGAUAUAGAGUGGAGGUAUGGAUCGGAGGAAGGCUGGC
rnacentral:lncRNA from 1 species